UACGUAGGGUGCAAGCGUUGUCCGGAAUUAUUGGGCGUAAAGAGCUCGUAGGCGGUCUGUCGCGUCGGAUGUGAAAAUCCAGGGCUCAACCCUGGACCUGCAUUCGAUACGGGCAGACUAGAGUUCGGCAGGGGAGACUGGAAUUCCUGGUGUAGCGGUGAAAUGCGCAGAUAUCAGGAGGAACACCGGUGGCGAAGACGGGUCUCUGGGCCGAUACUGACGCUGAGGAGCGAAAGCGUGGGGAGCGAACAGG
rnacentral:rRNA from 1 species